AAAUUAAGAAAAACAAAAGCCCAGAUCUAGACACGUCACUCCCCGAACUAAGUAAACAAAUCCCGACGAACAAAUCUUGUCCGACCAAGCUCCGAUGACUUGAAGGGCAUCGAGAUUUCUUAGCUCUGCUGGUUUUCUUGGGAGUUGAGACCCGUGCCAUUCUUCUCCACAAGUCAUAAUCACAUGAUGAACCUACGGGAAGUGUUAUUUAGGAAAAAAAAGGUUCUAAUUAAUACUCGAAACGACCGGACAAGUCAUUUACAAUAUAUUAAAUAUAGGUAACGAAUUUGUAUAUUGUAAAGAAAAUAUUAUUUAUUUUGCAUACCUGCUUCUUAGUGAUGAAUUUUAUCUAAAUAUUUACUAUUCAUUAUUUUUUUUUACGGAAAAGGGCCAAAUAUACCCUUGUACAAUAGUACAAGGGCCAAAUAUACCCCUCGUUAUACUUUGGGUUAAAAUAUACCCCUACCGUUAUACUAUGGGUUCAAAUAUAUCCCUCCGCCGUUAAAGUUGUCCAAGGUGGACAACUAGUCUUACAUAGCACAUACAUCCACGUGGCAUGCCACUUCAUCACUCCUAGCCCAUUUUAUUCCUCCUCUCUUCCAUCACUAAAAUUACCUUCCCCUCCAUCACCAUUGUCGCCACCAAUAAUCAAUUCAAACAUUUUGUUCUUAAGUCUUGCGCUAGUUAGAAUACGUUGCUAUGCUGGGAUGAAGGGAGUAUCUUCGUAAAACAUGGAUCAUUGCAAGUAUUGCUCUCCUUUUGCAAGAACUCUUGUAUGCACAGACAGAGUUCUGGAGAAGUCCAUUGUUAGCUUAGGUGGCAAAAUCAUUUUUUACCAAAAUAAAUAAAAUACAAAAUACAUAAAUUAAACGGAAAGGCUCAAAUAUGUCAUCGAACUAUCAGAGAAGACUCAUUCAUGCUACUCGUUAAUAGUUGGGCUCAAAAAUGCCACCGCCUUUACUGUUUUGGGUCAUAUAUGCCAUUACUCAUUAACAGACCUCUACUACUAUCAGAUUUUGCCACGUGGCACUAUCUAAACCUUUCAUUUUAUGAGUGACAUAUAUGAGUCAUUUCGUAGUUCAGCAGCAUAUUUGAGUCCAAUUCCUAUAUAAACCUCAAUAUUUUCUCAAAUAUGCCACUGAACUACGAAUGACUCAUAUAUGUCAUUCAUAAAAUGAAGGGUUUAGAUAAUGCUACGUGGCAAAAUCUGAUAGUAGUAGAGUUCUGUUAGUGAGUAAUGACAUAUAUCACCCAAAAUGGUAAUGACGAUGGUAUUUUUGAGCCCAACUAUUAACGAGUGGCAUGAAUGAGCCUUUUCUGAUAGGUCGAUGACAUAUUUGAGCCUUUUCCGUAAAUUAAAAGCUAUUUGCAUCUCUCUGUCUGUGUCCCACUAUCUAAUCUUACUUCCUUUGAAUUGUCAAAUUUUUCCCAGAUAAGGGCUUCGAUUUUAUUUGUUUUUGCAUUUUGCUUUCUUCGAUUCAAUUGCAUUUAAUCAAUACACCUCCAACGCCGGCCCAAGGGUGAAGCGCCUAAAGCAAUUGCUUUAGGCCUCCCCUAAUUGAGGUCCCCAAUUUUCUGUUACUGUUAGUAUUUCAUUAGUAUUGUACUCAUAUAAAAUUUUAAAUUAUUGUUAUUGAAAAGAUAUUAAAUUUAUGCUUAUUUUUAGAAAAUGUGAUAGAUAUUGUUUAGAUAAAUACUUGAAUUUCAUAAUAAACAUAUAAUAUGUGGGGAAAAAAUUGAUGAUGAUACUGAUAUAAAAAAAAAAAAUUAAGUCUCUUGUAGUAUUUUAUGGAGUUGAUUAUUUCUUAUGAAGAGUGAAUCGAGUCAUUUCUUUCAAUUCAAAAUAAACUUGAACUAUUUUAAUUGCAUGAAAUUAUUUUAACAUUAUUUCGUAGUACAAAAAUUUUCAGACCCCACUUGUGAGAUUACACUGAGUAUGUAGUUGUUGUAGCAUAGUAUGAAAUUGGGACUAUUAGAUAAUUAGAAUAAACAGAAAAAAUUACUUUAACUAUGGAUACUUUUUAUAAAGACGUGAAGCCUCGGUGAUUAGAGUUACUAAAUAUCUUUGUCUUUGGGAUCUAACAGGUAACUAAGUGAAUGGUCGACCUACCCACAAGAUGAUAAGUACACCAUUGUUACAAAACAAAAGAAAAAAAAUGAUUAAAUAAAUAUAUACUAAUUUUUAUUUAAUUAUAUUUAAGGCCUCUUUUUCAAGAUUUGGCUUUAGGCAUAGGUUCCGUUGAGCCGCCACUGUACACCUCCCAAAUUACAUAAAGGAGGAGCAUAAUUAAGUAUGGGCAGCGGAGAUGCUAGUGCUACAGCAAGAGACGCCGGCGAUUUAAACAAGGAGAAUAACAAUCGGCGUCGGUGCGGCAGAGGUGUUACGACUUAUGAUCAAUGCCCGAUGUUUGAGCGGCUCGAAAUUCUCUGUGCAGGUUAGCCUCGAUUCGUCCGUCGGAUCCUUCAAGUCUAUUCUUGCACAGCAUGCCAACAUUAUUGGCGGUAAUGGUGGCAUCAAUGGGGGUGAAGGGGAAGGAAAUUUUAGCGGAGGAAGAGGUGAGGAGUAAAAUGAGUUAGGGGUGAUGAGGUGGCAUGCCACGUGGCAUCCACCUCAUAAUAUGUCAGUGCAUUGGUUGUCCACCUUAAACAACUUUAACGGUGGAAGGAUAUAUUUAAACCCAUAGUAUAACGGCAGGAGUAUAUUAAAAUAUAACGAGGGGUAUACCAAAGGGGUGAACACUCCUUAUGGUGUUAGUUUGUGGAGAUCCACAAAAGUAUUAUGGCCUUUCUUGAAGAAUCAUACAACAGUAAAGGUAAACAAUGGAGAUAAAACAUCCCUUUGGGAGGAUAAAUGGUUGGGCAAUAGAAGUUUGAAGGAAAUUUUUCCUAACAUUUAUGGGCUGGCUGCACAUCAACAAAAGACUGUAGCUGAAACAUGGACUCCUCAAGGAUGGAACACUCAGUUUAGGAGGAAUUUUAAUGAUUGGGAAAUUGACACACUGACUGAAUUCUUUGGAAAGAUGGAAGAGUUCAAAGGCACUGUGGAUGGAGUAGAUAAAUUAUGGUGGAAAGAAGACAGUAAAGGCAGAUUUAAAGUGAAUUCAACACAAAUUUUUGAAACAAGCUAAUCAACAGGUGCAACAUUGGCCUUGGAAGCAUAUAUGGAAAGUGAAAAUACCAUACAAAGUAGCAUGUUUCGCUUGGUUAUUGGCAAGGAAAGCUGUUUGGACUCAGGAAAACCUUAAAAAGAGGAAGUUCUCUCUUUGUUCCAGAUGCUAUCUAUGUGGUGAAAAGGCUGAAACAGUCAGCCAUCUAUUUUUACAAUGCAAAAUAAUAGACCAGCUUUGGAGAAUUUUUGUUAACCAUAGGGGCUUGGCUUGGGUAAUGCCAAACAAGAUUACUCAAGUACUAUAUAGCUGGGAGGAGGCAGGAGUAGAAGCUGCAGACAGAGAUAGAUGGAGGAUUGUUCCUGCCUGUAUCUGGUGGACAAUUUGAAAAGAAAGGAAUUCAAGGUGUUUUGAGGAUAGCAGCAAUGAAGCUAAGUUCAAAAGAUCAAACUUAAUUGCAUUAGACUUUUUUGUUUCUGAAGUUCAAAGCUGCAUACAGAUAUAGAUGGAGAAUUGUUUCUGCCUGUAUCUGGUGGACAAUUUGGAAAUAAAAGAAUUCAAGGUGUUUUGAGGACAGCAGCAAUGAAGUUCAAAAGAUUAAACUUAAUUGCAUUAGACUUUUUUGUUUCUAGUGUAAGCAGAUUUAUCCAGAAGAUAUUGAAUCCACUGUAGAUAUUCUAGGAUCUUGUUAGAA